GAGGCGCCUUUCGGGGUGUUCGCACGAAGGUGUGGCGAGCCCCCUGCGUCCCUUGACCGCAGCCUCCCCGCCCAGGGACCACGAGCCCUUCCAGGACGCUGCAGUCCCGGCGAGGGUCGCACAGUGGGCAGCGAUGGAGUCAGGGGGGUCACCUGGGGAGUACCCCGGGGGGAGCCCUAAUGUGGGGCACCUGGUGCGCGCUCAGCGCCUCCUGAGAGGGGCCUGUGGUUUGUCACUGCCACGUAGGCCGUGGUCCAGGCACUGAGCUGGGGCUCCAGCGGGGGGUGGGAGUGGGAUGGAAGGAGCAGGGUUGCAAAUGUGCGAAGAUGCGCAAGGACCAAGGUCGUCAGCGCUGGUCCACGUGGGCCUGGGGGGUAACUGAGGGCGGUGGGCAGUGAGCUGGUGGCGGCAGCACUUAGCUGCUGGCACGGCCGCCUCCUGACCUGGGCUGUGGGCUUUCUUUUUCAGGUUCUUAGGCUUCUGUUGCCCCACCGUAAACAAAAAACCUAAAUCAAUUCCCUCCUAAACCAUGUCCAGACAGGAAGGGGAGAGAUCGGAGGCCCACGACCCCCGCGGCAUCAUCUGCAGGCUCCUUUCAGACGCAGAGCCUCUGCCGGCAGGUCACGGACCUGCCUGCAGCGCCCCUGGAAGAGCCAGAAGCCCCCCGUGCGGCCCAGCUAGAAACUCCCCACAACACUGACCACCCCCCACCCAGACCAGGGGGCCAGUUUUGACAAUGCUGGUCAUGACACUUGAACAAGGCACUUCGGAGGAGCCCCCCAGAUGAGAUUUCACCUGAACCCAGGUGCCACCGUGUGUCCAAGUUUGACUCCCUAAGAAGCAGACAAACCUCUGCGUCUCAGGAGGCUGACGGGGACGACGUGCCCGAGCUUGGCAAACACUGGAUGGCCAAACAAAUGUUAACCUUUAAUAAUGUAAGAAGCUGAGUCGGGAAAUUGCUUUUAUUCCUGGCUGUAGCAUUUAUACAGGCCUCCCCUCUGGGCCCCGAGGGGGCAGAGGGUUUGCAUAGUUACUGGGCUCGCUGGGCAGUCUGCCCUUCUGUGGAAUACUCGGAUUACGUGCUGCUGUUCUAGAAUUCUGCGGAGGGAGCACUGGAAUCUCCAAGGUUGUUUGAGAACUGCUCGUUUCGGCCACUGGAGGGUUGGCACUGCUGGGGGAAAUUUGUUCUUUUCCAAAAACAAAGUUACUCUGGUUCAUCUGGAGAGACUUCAGAAAACAUAUUUAAAAAGGAAAAAGGAGGCUGGGAGAAAGUGAGGCAGAAGACUACCGGUGUGAUCGAUACCGUGUUGACGGUGAGGAAACGCCCCCCGGCUUGAAUGGAAAUCACUCCUCUCCAGGAUACUCCCCCUGGCCGUGUCAGCCCGUUAGGCCACGGCCCACACGAACACAGCGCAAGGCGGCGUCUUCGUGGAGGCUGUCCGUGAAGGCAGCACAAGAGAGAAAUGGGGUCCGAGAGACGGGCCGGCGCGAUCCAAGCCCUGCUGGUCCCUGCUCCCGGGAAGGGCCUUCCGUGCCGCACCCUCCAAGCUGCUGUGAUGCCAGCCUCUGCCUCGGCCUGCGUGCCCCCGACUCUGACCCUCCUGGAGAAAUGCCAGCUGUGAGUCCCUGGUGCCAGGCAAGGCCACGUCCCCAGGGUCCGGGACGGGACGUGGCAUCCUUGGCCCACCGUGGCCUCGACGCUCAGCGUGACAGAGAACACAGCUGUUAAAAGGCUGUGGCUCCGGGUGCUGGUCCUGGUGCCCCGACGGAUGAUCUCCCGGACCCGGCUGACCCUCGGCCAGAGCCAGCACGCCGAGCCUGGGGCGGCACGUGCACAGAGCCCGCUGUCCUCUCUCCGCCCUGUGGGCGUGACCAGCGCUGCUGUCACCAUGCGGACCAUGGGCACCGCGCUGCUUCCCCCCCCCCUCCGCCCUCCGGCACCCGAGCCCCAACCGCCGGCCGGCUCUGCAGCCAAACUGUCGUUUUGAGGAUUAGAUGUAAAUGGAGACUGACUUUCUACUCAGCGCCAUUCUUGUGGGGGCAGUGCGGUCCUGUGCCGGGGACGCACGUUAACGUGACCGCGUGCCUCUGGAAGGACAUCUGGGACCCUCUGCCUCAGAGCUGUUGCGGAUAGAGCUGCUGUCCGUGUUCGCAGACGGGGUUUUGUGCCUGAUCACGUAGCUCAUCGUCUUCCUGGAUGAAGGUCCGGGAGGGCCGUGUCGGGUCCCACCGUCCACUGUGUUUGCAGGGCUGAGUGUUCCCAGCGGCACCGGCCCCCAGAGGGCUCCGCUGCUGUGGCUUCUCGCCGGCACUCGCUGCCCUCACCGAUUCUUCUGGGGGCCUCUCCGAGGUGGUGUGGACUGUCUGCAGGCCGCCAGGGAGGCACGGGGGCGCCUGGGCAUGGGCAGCUGCGACUCCGGGACCCCGUGGGCAGGGAACGCGGCUCAGGGAGCACAGGGGAGGAGUCACGGGAGGAGCACCGUCCAAACCACACGGGCUGAAGGGAGGGGCGCAGAAGCAGGGUUGGGGACCUGGGGCUCGGGGGUGUUUUCCAGAAGCUAAGUGGGCGGUGUAGCGGGACCUCCGUGUGGCACCCCAGGGACCCAAAGCCGCCACAUGUCCCCACUGGGAAGAGGGUUCUUUUGUCUGAGGCAAACCGCCCUCGGAGACUGUCACUGUCUUCCCACGAAUCUAACACAGGCUCGCUGUGGGGGUUCUCACCCGAGCCGGCCGUGUGUGCGAUGACGUCUCUGAAUAAACAACGCGGGAACAGCA